ensembl:lncRNA
UUUUUUUUUAAUUUUUCCAUAAGUCAUUGGGGGUACAGGUGGUAUUUGGUUAUAUGAGUAAGUUCUUUAGUGGUGAUUUGUGAGAUUCUGGUGCAUCCAUCCCCUGAGCAGUAUACACUGCACCAUAUUUGUAGUCUUUUAUCCCUCGGCCCCCUCCCACUCAUCCCCAAAGUCCCCAAAGUCCACUGUAUCACUCUUAUGCCUUUGCAUCCUCAUAGCUUAGCUCCCACAUAUCACUGAGAACAUGUGAUGUUUCAUUUUCCAUUCCUGAGUUACCUCACUUAGAGUAAUAGUCUCCAGUCUCAUCCAGGUCACUGCAAAUGCUGUUAAUUUAUUCCUUUUUGUGGCUGCAUAGUAUUCCAUUGUUUACAUAUACCACGGUUUCUUUAUCCACUCGUUGACUGAUGGGUAUUUGGGCUGGUUCCACAAUUUUGAAGUUGUGAAUUGUGCCACUAUAAACAUGCAUGUGCAAGUGUCUUUUACGAAUAAUGACUUCUUUUCCUCUGGGUAGAUACCCAGUAGUGGGAUUGCUGGAUCAAAUGGUAGUUCUACUUUUAGUUAUUUAAGGAAUCUCCACACUGUUUUCCAGAGCAGCUGUGCGAGUUUCCAUUCCCACCAGCAGUGUAGAAGUGUUCCCUGUUCACUGCAUCCACACCAACAUCUACUGGUUUUUUAUUUUUUUGAUUAUGGCCAUUCAUGGAGGAGUGAGCUGGUAUCGCAUUGUGGUUUUGAUUUGCAUUUCCCUGCUCAUAAGUGAUGUUGAGCAUUUUUUCAUGUUUGUUGGCCAUUUGUAUAUCUUCUUUUGAGAACUGUCCAUUCAUGUCCUUAGCCCACUUUUUGAUGGGAUUGAUUUUUUCUUAUUGAGUUCGUUGUAGAUUCUGGAUAUUAGCCCUUUGUCAGAUGUAUAGAUUGUGAAGAUUUUCUCCCACUCUUUGGUUUGUCUGUUUCCUCUGCUAUUUCUUUUGUCAUGCAAAAGCUCUUUCAUUUAAUUAGGUCCCAGCUAUUUAUCUUUGUUUUUAUUGCCUUUGCUUUUGAGUUUUGGUCAUGAAAUCCUUGCCUAAGCCAAUGUCUAGAAGGGUUUUUCCAAUGUUAUCUUCUAGAAUUUUUAUAGUUUCAGGUCUUAGGUUUAAGUCCUUAGUCCAUCUUGAGUUGGGUUUUAUAUAAGGUGAGAGAUGAGGAACCAGUUUCAUUCUCCUACAUGUGGCUAGUCAAUUAUCCCAGCACCAUUUGUUGAAAAGGGUGUCCUUUCCCCACUUUAUGUUUUUGUUCACCUUGUCAAAGAUCAGUAGGCUGUUAAGUAUUUGGGUUUAUCUCUGGGUUCUCUAUUCUGUUUCAUUGGUCUGUGUGCCUAUUUCUGUACCAGUACAACGCUGUUUUGGUGACUAUGGCCUUAUAGUUUGAAAUCAGGCAGUGUGAUGCCUCCUGAUUUGUUCUUUUUGCUUAGUUUUGAUUUGGCUAUGAGGGCUCUUUUUUUGGUUCCACAUGAAUUUUAGAAUUGUUUUUUCUAAUUCUGUGAAGAAUGAUGGUGGUAUUUUGAUGGGAAUGGCACUGAAUUUGUAGAUUGCUUUUGGCAGUAUGGUCAUUAUUCACAAUAUUGAUUCUGCUCAUCCAUGAGCAUGGGAUGUGUUGCCAUUUCUUUGUGCCAUCUAUUAUUUCUUUCAGCUGUGUUUUGGAGUUUUCCUUGUAGAAGUCUUUCAACUCCUUGGUUAGGUAUAUUCCUAAUUUUUUUGCAGCUGUUGUAAAAGUGGUUGAGUUCUUGGCUUGAUUCUCUGUUUGGCCACUGUUGGUGUAUAGAAGAGCUACUGAUUUUUGUACAUUAAUCUU